rnacentral:sRNA from 1 species
AGUUUUAUGUAAAUAUAUGGUCCCAUCAAUAUCGUAAAUUAAUAAUUGUAUAAAUGUAUCAACU